rnacentral:rRNA from 1 species
UCUAUAAUGCAGUCGAGCGGACAGAUGGGAGCUUGCUCCCUGAUGUUAGCGGCGGACGGGUGAGUAACACGUGGGUAACCUGCCUGUAAGACUGGGAUAACUCCGGGAAACCGGGGCUAAUACCGGAUGCUUGUUUGAACCGCAUGGUUCAAACAUAAAAGGUGGCUUCGGCUACCACUUACAGAUGGACCCGCGGCGCAUUAGCUAGUUGGUGAGGUAACGGCUCACCAAGGCGACGAUGCGUAGCCGACCUGAGAGGGUGAUCGGCCACACUGGGACUGAGACACGGCCCAGACUCCUACGGGAGGCAGCAGUAGGGAAUCUUCCGCAAUGGACGAAAGUCUGACGGAGCAACGCCGCGUGAGUGAUGAAGGUUUUCGGAUCGUAAAGCUCUGUUGUUAGGGAAGAACAAGUGCCGUUCAAAUAGGGCGGCACCUUGACGGUACCUAACCAGAAAGCCACGGCUAACUACGUGCCAGCAGCCGCGGUAAUACGUAGGUGGCAAGCGUUGUCCGGAAUUAUUGGGCGUAAAGGGCUCGCAGGCGGUUUCUUAAGUCUGAUGUGAAAGCCCCCGGCUCAACCGGGGAGGGUCAUUGGAAACUGGGGAACUUGAGUGCAGAAGAGGAGAGUGGAAUUCCACGUGUAGCGGUGAAAUGCGUAGAGAUGUGGAGGAACACCAGUGGCGAAGGCGACUCUCUGGUCUGUAACUGACGCUGAGGAGCGAAAGCGUGGGGAGCGAACAGGAUUAGAUACCCUGGUAGUCCACGCCGUAAACGAUGAGUGCUAAGUGUUAGGGGGGUUUCCGCCCCUUUAGUGCUGCAGCUAACGCAUUAAGCACUCCGCCCUG